GUCGUGCCUCCGGGAGACUCGCCGGCGACGCCAUUGCGGGAGGAACGCCGGAGGGAAUGUUUCUUUUCCUUUGCUGCGUCGAUUCCGGGUCGCUUUUAAGGCCGGUUAGUGGAUAUACAGGACAAAGAGACUUUAGUCUCUAUCUCAGCCUGAUAUGUGAACCCGUCAAGUUCCCCAAAUGCCGAAAAAAGUGGCGAGAAACGAAGCAAUUGUGGCCAAAGACGGAAGGGAAGAAACGUUUCGCUAUAAAAAGCCUGACCGUUUCCUGCCUGGUUUCCUGUGCUGCCUUCACGGAGCUUUACUCAGAAGAACAAAGCUGGUGCUUCUGGAGGGGAUUUCAAUGGACAGCCCGGAGAGCAGCUCGCACAAGACAUCGCUUACCCUCGUAAUGCUGUGAUGGCUAUUUGAAUUUCCCAGUAGAACCCCUUUGACCCUUCCAAAUGCACAGCCUCCGCCCUUCCUAAGGUGAUCAUUCCACAAGAGAUGAAGUUGGCUGAUUGGCUGUGAUGAUCGAAAGCACAGGAUACCAGUAAAUGCAAUGGCUAC